rnacentral:rRNA from 1 species
GAUCCUGGCUCAGGAUGAACGCUGGCGGCGUGCUUAACACAUGCAAGUCGAACGAAGCACUUUACCUGAUUUCCUUCGGGGAUGAUUGUUCUGUGACUGAGUGGCGGACGGGUGAGUAACGCGUGGGUAACCUGCCUCAUACAGGGGGAUAACAGUUGGAAACGACUGCUAAUACCGCAUAAGCGCACAGGAUUGCAUGAUCCAGUGUGAAAAACUCCGGUGGU